rnacentral:rRNA from 1 species
GAUGAACGCUGGCGGCGUGCCUAAUACAUGCAAGUCGAGCGAACAGACGAUGAGCUUGCUCCUCUGACGUUAGCGGCGGACGGGUGAGUAACACGUGGAUAACCUACCUAUAAGACUGGGAUAACUUCGGGAAACAGGAGAUAAUACCGGAUAAUAUAUUGAACCGCAUGGUUCAAUAGUGAAAGACGGUUUUGCUGUCACUUAUAGAUGGAUCCGCGCCGGAUUAGCGAGUUGGUAAGGUAACGGCCUACCAAGGCAACGAUGCGUAGCUGACCUGAGAGGGUGAUCAGCCACACUGGAACUGAGACACGGUCCAGACUCCUACGGGAGGCAGCAGUAGGGAAUAUUGGACAAUGGGCGAAAGCCUGAUCGAGCCAUACCGCGUGGGUGAAGAGGGUCUUCGGGUUGUAAAGCCCUGUUGUUGGGAAAGAAAAGAUGCAGAUUAAUCCCUGGCUGUUUUGACGGUACCCAAAGAAUAAGCCACGGCUAACUUCGUG